rnacentral:ncRNA from 1 species
AAAAACGCUAUGAGCGGGCUCAAGUAGCCGUGCAAAAGGAUUCUCAGAGAGCCGUCGGUCGGUGCAAGGCGGCAGUCGUUGCAUGAGUGAAUUACUCCCCGCCAGUUGCGCUCCGAACGCCCUCGGGUCAUUAAGAGUCGCCGGGUAAGACCCGUUACAGUCUUAAAGUGAGAUUGUCACUUGUCAAGGCUUCUGCCGUGAGGCAGAGGUAAAUUGAGGUGGUACCGCGGUAUAUCCGCCCUCUGA